rnacentral:rRNA from 1 species
UGCAAGUCGAACGGUGAAGGAGGAGCUUGCUCCUUUGGAUCAGUGGCGAACGGGUGAGUAACACGUGAGUAACCUGCCCCAGACUCUGGGAUAAGCACUGGAAACGGUGUCUAAUACCGGAUACGAGCUUCAGCCGCAUGGCUAGGAGCUGGAAAGAAUUUCGGUCUGGGAUGGACUCGCGGCCUAUCAGCUAGUUGGUGAGGUAAUGGCUCACCAAGGCGACGACGGGUAGCCGGCCUGAGAGGGUGACCGGCCACACUGGGACUGAGACACGGCCCAGACUCCUACGGGAGGCAGCAGUGGGGAAUAUUGCACAAUGGGCGCAAGCCUGAUGCAGCAACGCCGCGUGAGGGACGACGGCCUUCGGGUUGUAAACCUCUUUUAGUAGGGAAGAAGCGAAAGUGACGGUACCUGCAGAAAAAGCACCGGCUAACUACGUGCCAGCAGCCGCGGUAAUACGUAGGGUGCAAGCGUUAUCCGGAAUUAUUGGGCGUAAAGAGCUCGUAGGCGGUUUGUCGCGUCUGCUGUGAAAACUGGAGGCUCAACCUCCAGCCUGCAGUGGGUACGGGCAGACUAGAGUGCGGUAGGGGAGAUUGGAAUUCCUGGUGUAGCGGUGGAAUGCGCAGAUAUCAGGAGGAACACCGAUGGCGAAGGCAGAUCUCUGGGCCGUAACUGACGCUGAGGAGCGAAAGCAUGGGGAGCGAACAGGAUUAGAUACCCUGGUAGUCCAUGCCGUAAACGUUGGGAACUAGAUGUAGGGACCAUUCCACGGUUUCUGUGUCGCAGCUAACGCAUUAAGUUCCCCGCCUGGGGAGUACGGCCGCAAGGCUAAAACUCAAAGGAAUUGACGGGGGCCCGCACAAGCGGCGGAGCAUGCGGAUUAAUUCGAUGCAACGCGAAGAACCUUACCAAGGCUUGACAUAUACCCGGAAAAGUUCAGAAAUGUUCUCCCCGCAAGGUCGGUAUACAGGUGGGUGCAUGGUUGUCGUCAGCUCGUGUCGUGAGA